UACGUAGGGGGCAAGCGUUGUCCGGAUUUAUUGGGCGUAAAGAGCGUGUAGGCGGCCAGGUAGGUCUGCUGUGAAAACUCGAGGCUCAACCUCGAGAUGUCGGCGGAAACCAUCUGGCUAGAGUCCGGAAGAGGAGAAUGGAAUUCCCGGUGCAGCGGUGAAAUGCGCAGAUAUCGGGAAGAACACCCGUGGCGAAGGCGGUUCUCUGGGACGGUACUGACGCUGAGACGCGAAAGCGUGGGGAGCGAACAGG
rnacentral:rRNA from 1 species